GGGGAGCUUGCUCCCGCUGACGACCGGCGCACGGGUGAGUAACGCGUACGUAACCUACCUUCAAGAAAGGGAUAGCCCUGGGAAACUGGGAUUAAUACCUUAUAGUAUCAUAAGACCGCAUGGUUUAAUGAUUAAAGCUCCGGCGCUUGAAGAUGGACGUGCGUUCUAUUAGAUAGUUGGUGAGGUAACGGCUCACCAAGUCAGCGAUAGAUAGGGGGCGUGAGAGCGUGGUCCCCCACACGGGUACUGAGACACGGACCCGACUCCUACGGGAGGCAGCAGUAAGGAAUAUUGGACAAUGGGCGCAAGCCUGAUCCAGCCAUUCCGCGUGUAGGAUGACGGCCCUCUGGGUUGUAAACUACUUUUAUUUGGGAAGAAACCCUGGGAUUUAUCCUGGGCUGACGGUACCAAAAGAAUAAGCACCGGCUAAUUCCGUGCCAGCAGCCGCGGUAAUACGGAAGGUGCAAGCGUUAUCCGGAAUCACUGGGUUUAAAGGGUGCGUAGGCGGUUGCGUAAGUCAGAAGUGAAAGCUCACAGCUUAACUGUGGAAUUGCUUUUGAUACUGCGCGACUAGAAUCAGGUUGAGGUUGGCGGAAUGUGACAUGUAGCGGCGAAAUGCAUAGAUAUGUCAUAGAACACCAAUUGCGAAGGCAGCUGACUGGACCUGUAUUGACGCUGAGGCGCGAAAGCGUGGGGAGCGAACAGGAUUAGAUACCCUGGUAGUCCACGCCCUAAACGAUGCUUACUCGAUGUGUGAAUUAUUGCGCAUCCAAGGGAAACCGUUAAGUAAGCCACCUGGGGGAGUACGUUCGCAAGAAUGAAACUCAAAGGAAUUGACGGGGGUCCGCACAAGCGGUGGAGCCAUGUGGUUUAAUUCGAUGAUACGCGAGGAACCUUACCUGGGCUCGAAUGGAUUUGGACAGUUUCUGAAAGGAAAUCUCUCUUCGGAGCUGAAUUCAAG
rnacentral:rRNA from 1 species